GCAAAAGGUCGCUUGUGAUUGGUUUGAUGGAAAGAUGGUUAUUAUGGCAUUGCUGGGAGAGAGGUUGAUGGUAGAAGGUUUUUAACAAAGCCUGACGUCUCUGCUCUUGCCUCUUAACAUGGUGUGGAAGACGGUGGGUUUUGUGAUCUGGGUGUUGUGGGCGCCUAGUACUUUUUACUCCACGACGCAUGGGACCAAGCUGAUAGAAUGCACACAAGAACGAUUUUAUGGCAUCCAAAACUCGGGAAAAACAUCGUUCGUUUAUUUUGGAAAUAAAGUCAAUCCAACCAUUAGACUUUUCCUUGAGAAGUUUGAAAAGUCUGCAGAGGCACUUGAAGAUUAUGGCAUUUUAGUUGCUAAGGUAAAUUGCUCCAGGGUGGAGGUGCCAAAAUAUUGCACUGGUGGAGACAUCUCAAAGAAGGUGUAUUUAUUCCGAGGCGGUGAAAUUCUGAAGAUCUUCGCUAUCGACACUGUUUUUGAUGUUGAUGCUAUUGUGGCUCAUGUACUCUUCACCGUCAUCUUCAAUGAGGUGAAGUAUGUUCAGACGCCUGCAGAACUGCUCCACAUCGAGAAAGCAGCGAAGGGGAGGGCAGACGUCGUGCUCGCUCACGUCGUGGCCCUGGGAAUACCUGAGCACAGGGCUGUGAUGGAGACUGCUUUUGUCUAUGGGGCCAAGUAUCAGUUUGUGCUGACAACAGGAGGCACAGUGCUGGAGCACUUGGGAGUGAAGGAUCCUGCUUCUCUCCCAGCCGGCCUGUGGUUCCUGCACUGUAAGGCCGUGGCUCACAGGUCCGAGGGCUGUGACCGCACUGCCCUGAGGAGGCCCCUGACCACCAUCAACAUUUACACCUUUCUUCAGCUCAUGGAGGCUCCGCUUGUGACAGAGGCAUCUGUGGAGCCAUCCCAGGUCAGGACAGUGCACAGCCGCCUCCACACCCCACUGCUGUUCGUCUUCACUCAGCGAGAGACCCUUGACCUGGACAGGAACACUGCCCUCUCCCUCGCCCGGCGGCUGAGGGGACAGGCUGGCCUCGUCCUCUUGCACAGGGAUAACCCAGCAGUGAACAUCCCUGUGGAGUAUAAUGUGGCAUACCGGGUGCCCGGAGAGGGUUCCCCUGUCGAGUAUCUGACUUUGAAGAACUUAGAUGAAGCUGUGAGAAUUUUCCAAGAACAAAACCCGCUGGAAGAGGAAGAGGAGGGGGAAGAUGAGGAAGAACAACAUUGGUCUGUUUUAGACAUUUUGGAUGAUGAGGUAGCAGAAUCCGUUUACAGAGACAGAGACUUGGAGCUAAACUUUGAUCUGGUCCCAGAACUGACUGCGGAAACAAUCAGCACUGCAGUAGCUGGAAAUGGCCACACGGUGGUGAUCUUCUAUACUAGUUGGGAUGCUGUGUCCAUGGCUUUUAUGCGGUCUUAUCUUGAGGUAGCUAACAUGCUGAAAGAUGUGACAGGUGUGCAGCUGGCCCGUGUGGACUGUGGAGAGUGGACAGAUGUGUGCAGCAAUCAGAAUGUCUCACAUUUUCCGACAGUGAAGUUGUUCCACCCCAGUGAACUGCCACAGCUUUACAGAGGCAUGCUGGGAACUGAGAGUCUUUACAGGUUCAUAAUGCUGGGUCGGGAAGCUGUCCCUCUCCUCCUGUCCAAUGAAGAUGAAGUGCAGUCCUAUCUUGGUGGGGAGCUUUACCAGAGAUAUGCAGCCUUCUCUCCAGUCACUGUUCUGGGCCUCUUCAGCUCCAGCCAGGAUCAAGGAAGUGCUCUGUUCGGUGAAGCUGCAAAGAUGCUCAGGGGUGAGGUGUUUAUGGGCGUCUUCACAGAGGAGGAAGCAGCCAAGUGGGCUCAGAAUUAUGCAGUGAAACUACCAGCAAUGCUUGUUUGCAGAGGUCCAGAUUCCCGCAUAGAAGCCUUCACCCUUCAGAUUUCAGGAACUGAGGAGAUGGUCUCCACUAUCCAGAGAGCUGUGCUUGACAAAUUUCCGGAGCUGACAGUAGAGAACUUGCCGGCUUACCUGGAGCUGGGAAAGCCUCUGCUGAUGCUGUUUGUGGAGGAAGAAGAUGGAAAGAGUGAAGGCAUUCGACGGGAGCUGCAGAGCCUGCUGGGUAAAGGGCAGCUGGACUCCUACCUUCCCUGCUGGAUACAUUUGGGCCGAACGCCAGCUGGGAAGGCUAUCCUAGAGUCAUAUCUGGGUUCUGUCCCGCUGCUCCCGGUCUUGCUGCUGUCAGAGCUGGGCUCUGGUGGUGAGGUGUUUGAGUUUCCCCCUGGAAAGCCCAUGUUGGCCGACUCUAUUCUACAUUGGCUCAGCAGAGUGAAGAGAAAAGAAGAGCAGCCUGCAGGGGUAAUAGCAGAUGAGAAGUGGGCCCCCCCUGUGCCCUUCUAUGACUUUCUGGCGAUCAUGGACAAGGAGGUGCCAGGUUUUGCAACUCAGAGGACCCCCAAAUCAAAGGACAUGUUUCAAGAGGUGGAGGAGAAAGAUUUGGAGGGCAAAGUGGGACCUUCCCCACCCCAGUCAGACAACUGCAAUUAUCCCCUGGGCUAGUCAGUCUUGUGAUAGGUGCGUACCAACACCUCACCUCAGAGCUGCCAGCGAUCAUUCCUGAUCUGUUCUGCUUCUUCGCUUGCUAAACAACAGAGAAGCUUUGUGGGGACAGAUACUGUUGUGCCACUGGAGUUACAGAGGGAAACAAAGUCAAGAUAACCUGGGGAAGACGACCGCUUCUGCAUGCAUGUCUUAUGGUCUUCAUCUUGUCUGAUAAUAAAAUAAUGUACAACUAAGGACUGGCGUCACAUCCAGAAUGUACUCCUGCCUUGUGCCUGCCGGGUUAGGUUCUGGCUGACCACAACCCUCUAGGAAGAAAUGGUUACUGAAGAUGGAUGAAUGGAAAAAGCAUGUAUGUCAUACAUACAUCUGGGUGGACGUGGGUGAGUACCGGUGGUUUUGCCACAGGGAGGAACAGAGGUUGUGUCCUCUGUUCCUCUGUCUAGUGAUGCAGCUUGUGUGAUUAUUUUCUUACAUUCAUUUCAAAUUUUGUUCAUGAUGGAUGGUGUGGGACAUGACCAUUCGGACAAACUCACUGGUUAGAUUACUAUGAUGACUUGAUAGCAUUACCUGUCAUCACUUGUCCUCUAACAAGUGGCGUCAUUCACAGACAACAAUGGCUUAACACCACAGUUUUGCUCUUAUGAACAGCUCACUGUGUUAGGUCAGAGGAGCAUCACAAACAAAAGUAAAAAACGUGGUUUGGACCACCAACAAUCUGAGAAAAACUCAGUUUUUCUGUGCCUACUUUGGCCAGUAUAAAAUUUAAAUGAUUUUUACCCAUUCUCCACAAAACACAAAGAGGUGACUGGGCAAUUAAGGGAUUGACUGGACUUGGCUCUAGUGUCCAAAAGCUUCCCUCUCCCAAAACAAUUCACUAUUACAUAUCUAUUCACAGUAAAAUGUGCUUGAUGGCCUGUUACUGUUCUUCAUAUAUGCUUAUAUUUAUACUUCCACAUACACACAUA